UAAGAGGCUGUUUCCAGGACUUGAACCCAUGACCUCAUGGUCACAAGGCAACAGCUUUACCACUGCGCCAAGGCUCCCCUUCCUGUACAUGCAUCCAUGUCUGUCAGAAAUAAGUUGAUGCUGCAGAUAGGGCUUCCAGCUUGACAGAUGUAACUGUUGAUACUUGAUAGUCUGGUCCGGUCUAUCAACGUGGCCGACGGUGUGAAAGCCAGAUUUUUCACCAAUAUCCUGGCACUUGUGGAAUCUGCGGUAGAGAAGGUCAUUGCAUUUAGUCAGUACAUUACUUCCCAUGAAUUUUUUGGAAAGUCUAUUGGUUAAGACAAGGGGCUGGCAAGUAGGAGAGUUCUUUGUGAUCCGUGGUGAUAAUAAAUCUACUUCAGAAGAUAGAGAACUGAUCAGUUUAACAACUCUAUUGAUGCAAAAGUCCUGUUUGGCUCUACCAAGGCAUGUAGGGAGGGCAUCUCCCUAGUGGGCGCAUCAAGAGUCUUCAUUCUAGAUGUUCACUUGAACCCCUCUGUUGCCCGUCAGGCAAUUGAGCGGGCGUACUGGCCUGGGCAGCAAAAGGAAGUGUUGGCUCGUAGCAGCUGAUUCUCUGGAAAACACCUAUGAAACUGCACUCAAGAAGGAGGUGAUACCAAAGCUGUGGUUUGAAUGGAGUGAGCAGCGCUGCACGUCGGAGGACUUCCAGCUGAACGAAGUUGGUAUCGAUGACAGUGGGGAUGAGCUGCUGGACAACAGGAUGAUAUGCUAGGACAUCAAGGCUUUUUAUAUGCAAGGUGAAGGUUCUGUGAAGGCUGGUCAAAGAGGAUAUAAUAGUAGACACCUAAUAGCUUAUGCUGUCUUAGAAACUCCUGCCUCGGUGAUUUCUGCCAUGAAGUCUCUGCAAGGUUAUUUGUUUGACAUACAUGACAAAUACUCGCUCAAAUUGGACCUUCCAUUAUUUGCUGGUCCGAGGUCAACUGAUGCAUCUUUGUGGGUUUUGGUUUCUUCAAUAUCAAUCUAAAACCUUCAAUUUGCAAUUGCUUCCUUUGCUUUUGUUUCCUCAUGAACAAGAAUGGACAACUUGAUUGUUUCUUGGGCCUUACCUGAUAUGAUAUGAUGAGCCUAUAUUAGAAUUGGAAUUGGUAUUAUAAGUUGCAUGUUGUAUGAGAUACUCGAGUUUGUUAUUUCAUAUUGUAACUUAUCAUGUAUCUGCGUGACCCAUACAAGACAGUAUGCGA